GCAAGGUUAACCGAAUAGGGGAGCCGGAGGGAAACCGAGUCUUAAUUGGGCGUUAAGUUGCAGGGUAUAGACCCGAAACCCGGUGAUCUAGCCAUGGGCAGGUUGAAGGUUGGGUAACACUAACUGGAGGACCGAACCGACUAAUGUUGAAAAAUUAGCGGAUGACCUGUGGCUGGGGGUGAAAGGCCAAUCAAACCGGGAGAUAGCUGGUUCUCCCCGAAAGCUAUUUAGGUAGCGCCUCGUGAAUUCAUCUCCGGGGGUAGAGCACUGUUUCGGCUAGGGGGCCAUCCCGGCUUACCAACCCGAUGCAAACUGCGAAUACCGGAGAAUGUUAUCACGGGAGACACACGGCGGGUGCUAACGUCCGUCGUGAAGAGGGAAACAACCCAGACCGCCAGCUAAGGUCCCAAAGUCAUGGUUAAGUGGGAAACGAUGUGGGAAGGCCCAGACAGCCAGGAUGUUGGCUUAGAAGCAGCCAUCAUUUAAAGAAAGCGUAAUAGCUCACUGGUCGAGUCGGCCUGCGCGGAAGAUGUAACGGGGCUAAACCAUGCACCGAAGCUGCGGCAGCGANNUGCUGGAGGUAUCAGAAGUGCGAAUGCUGACAUAAGUAACGAUAAAGCGGGUGAAAAGCCCGCUCGCCGGAAGACCAAGGGUUCCUGUCCAACGUUAAUCGGGGCAGGGUGAGUCGACCCCUAAGGCGAGGCCGAAAGGCGUAGUCGAUGGGAAACGGGUUAAUAUUCCCGUACUUGGUGUUACUGCGAAGGGGGGACGGAGAAGGCUAUGUUGGCCGGGCGACGGUUGUCCCGGUUUAAGCGUGUAGGUGUGUGUUCCAGGUAAAUCCGGUUCACUUUAACACUGAGGCGUGACGACGAGGCACUACGGUGCUGAAGCAACAAAUGCCCUGCUUCCAGGAAAAGCCUCUAAGCAUCAGGUAACAUCAAAUCGUACCCCAAACCGACACAGGUGGUCAGGUAGAGAAUACCAAGGCGCUUGAGAGAACUCGGGUGAAGGAACUAGGCAAAAUGGUGCCGUAACUUCGGGAGAAGGCACGCUGACAUGUAGGUGAAGUGAUUUACUCAUGGAGCUGAAGUCAGUCGAAGAUACCAGCUGGCUGCAACUGUUUAUUAAAAACACAGCACUGUGCAAACACGAAAGUGGACGUAUACGGUGUGACGCCUGCCCGGUGCCGGAAGGUUAAUUGAUGGGGUCAGCGCAAGCGAAGCUCCUGAUCGAAGCCCCGGUAAACGGCGGCCGUAACUAUAACGGUCCUAAGGUAGCGAAAUUCCUUGUCGGGUAAGUUCCGACCUGCACGAAUGGCGUAAUGAUGGCCAGGCUGUCUCCACCCGAGACUCAGUGAAAUUGAACUCGCUGUGAAGAUGCAGUGUACCCGCGGCAAGACGGAAAGACCCCGUGAACCUUUACUAUAGCUUGACACUGAACAUUGAGCCUUGAUGUGUAGGAUAGGUGGGAGGCUUUGAAGUGUGGACGCCAGUCUGCAUGGAGCCGACCUUGAAAUACCACCCUUUAAUGUUUGAUGUUCUAACGUGGACCCGUUAUCCGGGUUGCGGACAGUGUCUGGUGGGUAGUUUGACUGGGGCGGUCUCCUCCUAAAGAGUAACGGAGGAGCACGAAGGUUGGCUAAUCCUGGUCGGACAUCAGGAGGUUAGUGCAAUGGCAUAAGCCAGCUUGACUGCGAGCGUGACGGCGCGAGCAGGUGCGAAAGCAGGUCAUAGUGAUCCGGUGGUUCUGAAUGGAAGGGCCAUCGCUCAACGGAUAAAAGGUACUCCGGGGAUAACAGGCUGAUACCGCCCAAGAGUUCAUAUCGACGGCGGUGUUUGGCACCUCGAUGUCGGCUCAUCACAUCCUGGGGCUGAAGUAGGUCCCAAGGGUAUGGCUGUUCGCCAUUUAAAGUGGUACGCGAGCUGGGUUUAGAACGUCGUGAGACAGUUCGGUCCCUAUCUGCCGUGGGCGCUGGAGAACUGAGGGGGGCUGCUCCUAGUACGAGAGGACCGGAGUGGACGCAUCACUGGUGUUCGGGUUGUCAUGCCAAUGGCACUGCCCGGUAGCU
rnacentral:rRNA from 1 species